rnacentral:rRNA from 1 species
AUGGCGGUUACUCUGAAGCUCAGGAUCCUCGCCGUGGCGGCAGCCGCCGCCGUCAUGGUCGGCACGGUCUCCGCGGCCGAUGGACCAGCUCCCGCGCCUGCCUCUGGCGCAUCGGCUGCUGCCCCGGCUGUCGCCAUGGCGUCCCUGACCGCGCUCGUCUUCGGCUACUUCUUCUGA